UUUUGAAUUGAGCUGGAGCAGCAUACUGACACCGUCUCUGCACUAGUGUCGAGUAGUUAGCUGUCAACAAACUAAAGUAGUCAUUUUGGACUAUUGUCAUUUAUAAAAACCAACAUGCAUUGAUACUAGGCCUGUGAUUUUACGGAGCGAUGUUACAGCUGUUUUAAAGAGCGUUUUGAACCGAAGAGGAAUUGUGACGAGUUCUUAACUGUGUUGUUGACUUACUAGCUUGGUGGCUAGCUAGGUCUGCUAGAAGGCUUGUUAAAUAUUACUGGUCCAGCGGCCAGUUGAGAUUCAUUAGCUAGUAUUUAUUUAUUUUUUUUUUAGAAGGCAUCAAAACAGUCGGUUCCUGCCAUGGCUGACAGCAGCAUAUUGACUUUAGGGACAGCUCGGAGUCUGUUGGUGGAUUCUUCGGUCUAUGAUUCUAGGAUUGCUGAAACCACCAAGGAUCAUGUAUUUCUGGGCAUGGCAUGUGAAGAUGGGGAAGAUGUGCUGCCAAAAGUGGAGACACGGGUUGUUCUGGUGGGAGAAGCAAGCAGAAAUAGAGAGCUGGCCAAAGCACUGCAGGCCAUCAGAGUAAUGGAGGUACCUGUGGUAAAGAUAAGAAAAGGCGAGGCGGGUGCCGAGGAGAAAAUGAUGAUAAAAUCUAUAGUCAAUAUGGACAUCAACACCCCAUUCAUAAUGACAGAUAGCGUCCAGGAGUUUGGGGAUGGAGAGAACACUGAGUUUGAGACGGUGUUUGUUCUCACAGACUUUGAUUCUCCUGAAUACAACUACCUCUACAAACAUGAACACCGCAUUGUUGGGCCUCCUGUUGUGCUGCACUGUGCUGCAAAGGAUGAACCUCUCCAGUUUUCAUGUCGACCUCUCUACUCCACCACCAUGUUAAACCUGUCACUGUGUUUCACUGGAUUCAGGAACAAAGAGGAAAUGAAAAACUUGGUGAAUCUGGUUCAUCACAUGGGUGGGACAAUACGGAAAGACUUCAGCACAAAGGUCACUCAUCUUGUUGCAUACUCCACUCAUGGAGAGAAAUACAGGCUGGCAGUGUGCAUGGGGACACCCAUCCUUACUCCAUCAUGGAUUCUUAAGGCCUGGGAAAGAAGAGAUGAUGUAAAUUUCCAUGCAGGUGACGAGGAAUUUCGAACUGAGUUCAAAGUGCCCCCUUUCCAGGACUGCGUUCUCAGUUUUUUGGGGUUUUCUGAGGAAGAAAAGGCCAACAUGGAAGAGAGGACUCUUAAACACGGCGGCAUGUACCUUGAGGUUGGAAAUGAAAGGUGUACGCACAUGGUUGUGGAGGAAAACCUGGUAAAGGAGCUACCAUUUUCUCCCUCCAAGAACCUCUUUGUGGUCAAACAAGAGUGGUUCUGGGGAAGUAUUCAGAUGGAUGCUCGAGCUGGAGAAUCCAUGUACCUCUAUGAGAAGAAUGACAGCCCAGCUAUGAAGAGAGCAGUGUCCCUCCUUUCCCUCACCACCCCAAACAGUAACCGUAAACGUCGACGUCUGAAGGACACAUUGGCUCAGCUCACCAAGGAAACAGAGAUCUCUCCCUUCCCUCCGCGCAAAAGACCAUCAGCAGAGCACUCGUUGUCUAUUGGUUCACUGCUGGACAUCUCUAAUACUCCAGAGACAUGCAAGGCUUUGGCAGAAGACAGAGUAGGAGACAGUUUUGUGACCAAGACUAGGAUAGGAAGAAGGAAAACCAGGGAAAGGAGUAGGACAGACAGGGAGGAGAGGAGAAAAAGGUCCCACCUGACUACAAAUGCUUGUCAACAACCAGAAGAAGAGCAGCACCAGGGAACUUAUGGAGAGGGUUCCAAGCCUUCUAAGAGUUCAACUCCGGUUCUUUCCAAGCAGUCAGCCAGGUGGCAGGUCUCCAAGGAGCUCUACCAAACUGAAAGCAACUAUGUAGACAUUUUAAGCACCAUCCUACAGCUUUUCAAGCAUCCAUUGGAAAAGGAGGGACAGGUGGGUGGACCUAUCCUGGCUCAAGAGGAGAUUAAGACAAUAUUUGGCAGCAUCCCAGACAUCUAUGAAGUUCAUACCAGAAUAAAGAAUGAUCUUGAGGAGCUCCUCACAGACUGGUCAGAAAACAGAAGCGUUGGAAACAUCAUUCUGAAAUACUCUAAAGAGCUGGUGAAGGCCUAUCCCCCCUUUGUCAACUUUUUUGAAAUGAGCAAAGAGACCAUUGUUCGGUGUGAGAAACAAAAACCACGCUUUCAUGCAUUCCUCAAGAUCAACCAGGCCAAGCCAGAAUGUGGCAGGCAGACACUGGUGGAGCUGCUCAUCAGACCAGUACAGAGACUGCCUAGCGUGGCCCUUCUUCUUAACGACAUAAAGAAACAUACAUCGGAUGACAACCCAGACAAGAUAACACUGGAGAAAGCAAUUGAGUCUCUGAAAGAAGUCAUGACCCACAUUAAUGAGGACAAAAGGAAAACUGAAGGCCAGAAGCAAAUCUUUGAUGUUGUUUAUGAAGUUGAUGGUUGUCCUGCCAACCUGCUGUCCUCCCAUCGUAGCCUCGUUUACCGAGUAGAAACCAUUGCUCUGGGAGAUCAGCCAUGUGACCGUGGUGAAAAUGUCACACUGUUCCUCUUCAAUGACUGUCUUGAGAUUGCAAGGAAGCGACACAAGGUGAUCAAUACAUUCAAGAGUCCGCUGGGACAGACGAGACCACCGCCCCCACUGAAACACAUAGCAUUAAUGCCGCUAUCUCAGAUUCGACGAGUGCUGGACUUGCAAGACACAGAAGAGUGUGUGAAUGCAUUCGCCUUGGUGGUUCGCCCUCCGACUGAACAGGAGAACUUGUUGUUCAGCUUCCAACUGGCUGGAGAGGAAACGGUUAAAAGCGCCUGGCUGCGGACACUUUGCCGCCAUGUAGCCAACACCAUCUGCAGGGCUGAUGCGGAAGACCUUAUUCAGUGUACAGACCCAGACUCACUGCAAGUCAGCACCAAGGAUAUGGACAGCACCUUGAGCAAAGCCUCCAGGGCCAUCAAGAAAACCUCUAAAAAGGUGACAAGAGCGUUUUCUUUCACCAAGACCCCAAAGCGUGUGAUCCAGAGGGCAUUCAUGGCCAACAGUCCUUCAGAUGAGAAAAGCCAGAGGCUGAGCUGUGAAAACCGCGUCGGCAGCAGCACCACUUUGGCUAUGCCUCGCGCUGCCUCAACAUUCAGUUUGAAUGAUUCUACCAAAAGCAGUGCCGUGGUGCAGCGCUCUAACUCUCUGGACCACCCUCCAAUCAGAUUCAAGAUCCCUGAUCGUAUGCGAACCCCCUGCACUCCCCCCAAAAAUCCUGCCCCCAAAAUUGCUUCUGAGUUGAGCCAAGACCCCUAGCUUAAUGCUUGCUCUGUCACCAGAGAAUCUAAGCCCAUUUUUAAUGAUUCUUUACUUAAUCAACCAGCACUAACAUUCCAGCCUCCCUGUUUCCUGGGAGUCGUCCUGUUUAAAUCCUCCCACCUCUACUUCUACUCCAGCUGUCCAAAACUCCACACAGCUCAACUCUAAACAUUCCCAACUCAAAUCUUGACAACAUUUGUCCAGACCGCUGCCCUCUGUAGGAUUCCAACCAAGCUCCCCAGGUCCUCAACCUUUUAAUGCCAAAAGUAGGGUCUUUCCUGAGUCAUGCAGAGAUCCUCAAGUUCCCAUGGACCCACAGAAGGCUGUCGUGACCAGUCCUCGCUAAGAGACCCUGCUUUAAAUGAUCACUGAGCUUUGUCCUGGAGUUUGAUGCACACCACUCGCCCUCCAUGGUCCAUCUGCCUACCAUGUUUGAGAGGAAGUAUCACACAUUCAGUCGUUCAACCACCCACCUCUUCUGAAAUGCUUCCGUUUGAAGGCACCAGCAGGAGUCACUACUAGCGUUUUCCACCUCGUUUGCCUUGACUGACACUGACAGCAAGAUUUGACCACAUAGGUCGAUUUGCAUAAAGUUAAAGCUACCUGUAAAGUACGACAAACUUUAUUUGUCAAAACUGGUGCUUCAGGCUUACACAGAUAUAGCCUAUCCAGAAGAAAUGGCUUUAAGCCAUCAUAAUGCACUGAAUGUAGGGACAUACUGAUAUUUGCCAGUAUCAGAACUGUCCUGCAGCUGUCUGUGGCUUCCUAUCUGAAAUACGGGCAGCAGUGGGGGCAAGCUGGUCAUAAUUUUUAUGCUUUAUCCAGCUAAUAUUAGUCAUUUUGCUGCGAACUUCCAGGAAGCCAGAAUACCAUUCUUAACUUGGCAAGAUUGUGAGUUUGGAAAAAGAAAACAAUACUACACUAUGUUUGAAUUAAGACUGCAUCACUAGGGCCUAACUGGAACGGUACUGUGCCAUGUUUGUGUUUGACAGCCACUGCUUUGGUCAAGUUUGACUUAAUUUUUAAAAAAUGAAGGACAAAUUUUUAGUUUUUCUUGACAUUUUCUGUUUGUGUUUGUGUUUGUGUACUAGUUACAUUUUCAGUGUUUCUGUUUCCCUAUUCAGCUUCCUGAUUUCUAAGCAACUGCUCAGUGCCAUUCGUGGUUAUAAGCAUAGACCAAGUUUCAUCAUGUUUGUAUACAUGUGGUUUAAAUGGGAAUUUAAUCCCAUCCAGUUUGUUGCUAAAUGCUAUGGUAAAGUAAAUUAACAUUUAAUUUUGAAGUUAGGUUUUUUUAUUUAACAGGGGAAAAUAGUUAAUCUCUUGGGUCGACUUUUUUCGCCCUUCAAUGUUAUGUUUUGUUUUUUUUGUUUUGUUUGUUUUUUUAAUUAACUCACUUUAACUGACAUUUGUCAUUGUUUUAUUGUAGUGUUGUAGGUUUUCUUUCUUCGCAUGUAAUAAUAUUCUAAUUAACUCACCUUGUUAAUGUCAACUUAAGCUUCCAGCUUUUAUAAAGCUUCUAUUUUAACAUUUAAGUGAUUCAGUUCUACAGAGCACAACCAUAUGUUUCUCUUCCCAGUACACUUGUACCUGUUUUAAAAGCCUUUUUACACAACAUCUGUAUCUGUGCGUAUAUUCAAGAAGUGAUGCUGCCUUGGUGUACAUAUUUAUUCUUAGUACCUUUUUUGUUUUGUGUUUUCCCUGAAUUACAUUAUUUAUGUUUGUUCUCUCGUAUCUUUAAGGCUCUUCUCACCGAGCCUAAUUGUUUCUAGUUCUUUUAUCUCAACAUUAAAUGCACUUAAAAUGUAUGUUUUCAUUUCAUGAAAAUGUAGGGGUUGAUGGUUAAAUAUGUUAAGUCAUUUGUGUUAAAAUAAAUUCAUUUAUUUACUAUA